GGGGUCGUGGGGUAGCCUGGUCUAUCCUCCUGGCUUUGGGAGCCAGGGACCUGGGUUCAAAUCCCGGCGACCCCACCA
rnacentral:tRNA from 1 species